rnacentral:rRNA from 1 species
CAUCGAGUCUUUGACGCAAGUUGCGCCCGAAGCCAUUAGGCCGAGGGCACGCCUGCCUGGGUGUCACACAUCGUCAUCCCCAUGCAAAUGCGCAUCGGGGCAAAAGCUGGCCUCCCGCGAGACAACCAACGUGGCUGGUCGAAAACCAAGUUAACGUCGGGGGUCCCCCCGCCACAAACGGUGGAUGAGCAGUGCUCGAGACCAACGGCGGAGGGGGACACCCGGUACUACAAUUUGUGGGCCCUAUUGCGUUCUUUGUAGAAAGCAAAGACGCUCCUAAAGAGACCUCAGGUCAGGCGGGGCUACCCGCUGAGUUUAAGCAUAUCAAUAAGCGGAGGAAAAGAAACUAACAAGGAUUCCCUUAGUAACGGCGAGCGAACCGGGAACAGCCCACCAUGAGAAUCGGUCGCCUUUGGCGUUCGAAUUGUAGUCUA